UACGGAGGGUCCAAGCGUUAUCCGGAUUCAUUGGGUUUAAAGGGUGCGUAGGCGGCCUGAUAAGUCAGCGGUGAAAUCCCACGGCUCAACUGUGGAACUGCCGUUGAUACUGUUAGUCUUGAAUGCAGAUGAUGUGGGCGGAAUAUGACAUGUAGUGGUGAAAUACUUAGAUAUGUCAUAGAACACCGAUUGCGAAGGCAGCUCACAAAACUGUGAUUGACGCUGAGGCACGAAAGCGUGGGGAUCAAACAGG
rnacentral:rRNA from 1 species